rnacentral:rRNA from 1 species
UACGGGGGGGGCAAGCGUUGUUCGGAAUUACUGGGCGUAAAGGGCUCGUAGGCGGCCAACUAAGUCAGAUGUGAAAGCCCCGGGCUCAACCCGGGAACGGCGUUUGAAACUGGCAAGCUAGAGUUUGGCAGAGGGGGGUGGAAUUCCACGUGUAGCAGUGAAAUGCGUAGAGAUGUGGAGGAACACCGAUGGCGAAGGCAGCCCCCUGGGCCAAAACUGACGCUCAGGCACGAAAGCGUGGGGAGCAAACAGG